GGAAGCCAGUGGAGACGCGUCCUCGUCGGAGAGGAAAUGCUCUCGCCUCGUGCUGGCUGCGGGUCCUUGGCCCGCGGGGCGACACGAGGAAAUGAGAUCUUGAUUGGGUGGAGGCACGCGUCGAUUCCUUCCCGACCUCUGAUGAGUGUUUUCAAAGUGGCCUCAAUUCGGGUGACCCAGGUCACUUGACCAGAAGAUCUGUGUGCUGGGUGAAGGCUGACUUCCUUUCUGCUGGUUGUGUGGUUGGUAUGUCAUUGCUGUGGCUUAGGCACUUCCAGGUCUGCUGGUUUAAUUCUUACCCAUGUGCUCUUUGAGUGCUGGCCUGCUGAAGUCUGUUCUGUGUGGAUGUAAAUAAAUGUGAAGUGACCCCGAGGAGUCUCUUGUGU
rnacentral:lncRNA from 1 species